ACAAGAGAGAAACAGACAAAUAUUAGCGUAGAUGCCAUUCUUCUAAUGAUGUAGAAAGUACAUAGGGUGUUAUGGGAAGUGUUCCCGGUUCCGGUUUACCUAAUUAAUGCAGCCUAAAAAUCCUUUAAUGGAUUUGGAUAUUAAAAGCAUAUUAGUAUGUUAUGUGUAUGCCAGGUUAAAGAGAUGGGUCUUUAAUCUAGAUUUAAACUGCAAGAGUGUGUCUGCCUCCCGAACAAUGUUAGGUAGGUUAUUCCAGAGUUUAGGCGCCAAAUAGGAAAAGGAUCUGCCGCCUGGAGUUGAUUUUGAUAUGCUAGGUAUUAUCAAAUUGCCUGAGUUUUGAGAAUGCAGCGGACGUGGAGGAUUAUAAUGUAACAGGAGCUCAUUCAAAUACUGAGGUGCAAAACCCUUCAGUGCAUCAUAAGUUAUAAGCAAAAUUUUAAAAUAUAUUGUCUAUUUUUACCAGUUCCAGUUACCACAUUUAAUAAUUGUUGACAAUUAAGCAGUAAAUUCUUCAAAACAUAGAGGAAAGUCAGUUACGGAGGAUUGAAAUGAGAUAAGGACGAGUAAAUAAUUUUCAUUUGAAGUGAACCCAUCAGUUAGUGUUGUAAACCAGCCUGGAGAAACACAACCGUUCUUGGCUGCUAAUUACAUACAAAUGACUUGUGAUGGGACCAGAACGAUGGGUGGUCAAAGUUCAAUGGCUUUGGUUCAAGUUUAAUGGCGAUCAAAUCACCAGGGUUCCUUCUCCGAGGGCCCGCGACCGGCUAAUGGCCAUGACCGAGAGUGUGAGGGUCGCAUCUGGAUCAUUUCCAUGACAAUCAGGGUGGCGCUGAAGUAGGCGGGGCAAACGAGGAUGCUCUCUGAGAUAUAGUAGUUGGAUGUGAGGUAUGGCAUCUGUCUACCCUCGUUGAGAUUCUUGAUCUCUUUGACCAGUCAGUGUUGUAUUAUUAAAAUCGCCCUCCGGUCAUAGGAUUAGGGAGGGGUAGGAGCCAGUCAAAAUGAUAGCCCGAAAUGCACUACUGCAGAGGGUGGCAUUGAACAGCUCAGCACGCCGACAGCACAGGGGGGCUGGAAAUGCAGCAAUUAGUCCUGUCUGUCUCUCCGUGCACUAUAAUCAAAAGCUCUGGGGAUGCCAAACAUGCUGAGGCGAUCACAUGAUUCAGGUCUCGCCUCAUUAUGCAUCUUCACAGAUUAGAUCUGGGCUUUGAGAACAAUGGAAUGUAUACUUGAAGUUAACAGAGAAUCAAAAGAAUCAAACUCAGUCAAAUUCUGAUAUGGUUUGCAUGAUCUUCCUUAUAUAUGAUAUUAUAUUAUGGUUUUUGGGCACCUAGUAUCAUCACUUGACGUUGCUUUCCAGGAGAAACAAAUGAGACAGCUGAUACUUGACGGUAUAGUUCAUCCAAAAAUGAAAAUUCUGUCAUUUACUCACCCUCAAGUUGUUCUAAAACUAUGAAAUUCUUUAGAUAUUUUGAAGAAUGUUGGUAACCAAACAUUUGCUGGUAGCCACUCACUUCCGAGUUAUGGGAAAAACAAAACAAACAAAAAAACAACAGCAAUAAAGUAAAUGGCUACCGUUCCAUUACCCAUGUGCACAUUCUUCAAAAUAUUUUGUGUUCAGCAGAAGAAAGAAAUUUAAAAAGGUUUGGAGCAACUUAUGUGUGAGUAAAUUAUGAGAAUGUUUCUUUUUUGGAUGAACUUCCCUUUAAUAAUCUCCAUUACUUCUACAGAGCUACAGUGUGAAAGCAAAACCUUUGAGCUUCUGCAAAAAAUAAAAAAUAAAUUAAAAAAAGGGAAGCUUUUCUUAAUCAGUGUUUUUGUCUUAAAUUCCAGUAAAUCCCCCCUUGAAACAAGAAAAUUAAAUUGAGCAGCAAGCCUGUGUUAACAAGACUUGUUUUCAGAGGAUUUAAUUAUUUCUUUUUCAUGCACAAACUUUUUAGAUUUAUGCUUAGAAGAAAAAAAACAAAAACUGUCAAUGGGGUAAGAAAAGUAAACUUAAUUCAAGUUUUAUUCUCAGAAAACAAGUCUUAAUGUCUUAUUCAAUUGUAAAACAUUUAGCCAUUGUAACUGGAAAACAAAACAAAAUGACUGAUUAUGAAAAUGAUCUUUUGCAGUGCAAUAAAUAUUAUGCCAAAACAAUGCUUUAAACAAGAAAAAAUAAUGGGGUAAGAAAAAUAAACUAUUUAACUAUUAAAAACAUGCCUUGUUAAUUCAAUUCUAAAAGGAUGUUUUAACUGGACAAAAAUACAGAUUAAGAAAAUGAUUUUUUUGCUUUGCAAUACAGUUUUUUUUCCUUUGGGAAAAACAAAGUCCAAGGGCUGACUGUAGGAACGCUCUGUCUCAUCAUCUCCGGUCACACAUCACCGAGUUUGCUCCUCAAAGGUAGCGCCAAAGGAGAACAGCAGGGAGGAAGGUUUAUCGAAAGCAAAAUGCAGCUGUGUUGGAGUUGGCAGGUGGUUAAACGAGUGACCAGGAGACUGGAUGGUUGGCUGCAGUGUCUCGGCGUCUCUCUCCCCCUGAGUCCAGGUCUCUGGCUGGAACACUGUGACCUAUAGCUGCUCUUGGCAGGGCCGUGGGGUUACCAGAAGGGCAGAACCGCUCUCUGGAUCUGGCAUCUAUCUCUAGCUCUGUUGUGGCAUUCAAGAACUGCCAUCAUUUGGAUCUUUUCUACAUCCUGACAUGAAGACAGCUCUUUCUAUCUCUCUCCAUCUCUGUCUCUCUCUUGGGGAACUCUGGGAGUACAUAAACCUGUGCCACGGCAAGAGCCAACAAUUGUGAAAUCACUGUUCAUGAUUGCACAGUUCAGAACUCUGGGACAUUUCUUAGUGCAGCUGUGGAAUCAAAGCUCAAAUGAAUCACUCCUCUCCGCUCAUUCGUUCAAAUUCACGCUCUGUACGUGUGAAGUCUUUCUUUCCAGGCCCAAGCUGUUGUUCGUAUCAGUCUUGCGCAGACAGUGGCUGGAUUGGGUUUAAUUGCUGUGAUGUGGACUUGAUAGGAGCGGUUCUCUCUUUCCGACUAAUUUUCUCCCCAGCAAUUGCGUUCCAAUUAAUAACAGCCAGCGAGGCAUUGCUUGUGGAUGUGAAAUGCAUAUGAUUGCCCUGUCACUCACCAGCCAGAAAGCUUUCAAUGGAUGGCAAUGUCCUUGUCUCAACCAAGCUAUAUUUUUUUGCUUUCCAGAUCUGCAUACUUGCCAUUGAUUGAUUCAUCCAUUCAAAACUAUAACAACAGGGAAGGAAACUUACAGAGGAAACAAUAAAAUCACCCAUUUUAUUAAAAAAAUUUUUUAACCUGUCCUUUGCACUAGUGUAAAUGAUGUUCAUAUGUUCAUAGUUCUGCCGAUAGUGUACAUACACGUUUACAAAAUCCAUCUGUAUAGUAUGUUCAUAGUACACCUAUCUGUAUAUCAUGCUGAUAGUAUUUAUAAUCUGUAAAUUAUGUCCAUAAUACUUAUCUGUAUAGUUAUUGUACAUAUUGUAGACCUUGUAUAUUCUAUUCUUACUGCUUAUUGCACUUCUGGUUAGAUGCUAACUGCAUUUCAUUGCUUUGUACCUUCCAUGUGCAGUGACAAUAAAGUUUAAUCUAAUCUAAUCUAAUCUAAUUUAAUCUUUUUCUUCCUCACUUUUUCCUUCCACUCAACCUUCUGUUAACAUGCUUGGAUACAGCACUCUGUGAACAUCCAGGCAGCUUCUUUUGCAAUUAAUGUUUGGCUUACCCUCCUUGUGAAGGGUGUCAAUGAUUGUCUUCUGGACAACUGUCAGAUCAGCAGUCUUCCCUAUUAUUGUGUAUCUUAGUGAACCAAACUAAGAGACCAUUUUGAAGGCUCAGGAAACCUUUGCAGGUGUUUUGAGUUGAUUAGCUGAUUGGCAUGUCACCGCAUUGUAAUUUGUAGAGAUUGUUAAAUGUGAGCCAAAAU